rnacentral:rRNA from 1 species
AGGACGAACGCUGGCGGCGCGCUUAAUACAUGCAAGUCGAACGGGAAGCCAGAGCUUGCUCUGGUGGAAAGUGGCGAACGGGUGAGUAACACGUGAGAAACCUGCCCCAAAGAUUGGGAUAAGCCUUGGAAACGAGGUCUAAUACCAAAUACCUUCUUUUAACUCAUGUUAAAAAGAGAAAUGCUCCGGCGCUUUGGGAUGGUCUCGCGAUCUAUCAGCUUGUUGGUGAGGUAACGGCUCACCAAGGCAUCGACGGAUAGCUGGUCUGAGAGGAUGUCCAGCCACAUUGGAACUGAGACACGGUCCAAACUCCUACGGGAGGCAGCAGUAGGGAAUCUUGCACAAUGAGGGAAACCUUGAUGCAGCGACGCCGCGUGCGGGACGAAGGCCCUAGGGUUGUAAACCGCUUUCAGUAGGGACGAAAGUGACGGUACCUACAGAAGAAGCCCCGGCCAACUAUGUG